rnacentral:rRNA from 1 species
AGAACGAACGCUGGCGGCAUGCCUAACACAUGCAAGUCGAACGAGACCUUCGGGUCUAGUGGCGCACGGGUGCGUAACGCGUGGGAAUCUGCCCUCAGGUACGGAAUAACUCAGGGAAACUUGAGCUAAUACCGCAUAAUGUCUUCGGACCAAAGAUUUAUCGCCUGGGGAUGAGCCCGCGUAGGAUUAGCUUGUUGGUGAGGUAAAAGCUACACCAAGGCGACGAUCCUUAGCUGGUCUGAGAGGAUGAUCAGCCACACGUGGGACUGACGACACGGCCCAGACCUCCGUACGGGAGGCAGCAGGUGGGAAUAGUGACAAGUGGGACGUAAAGCCUGACUCCAGGCAAUCGCCGCGUGAGUGA